GACGAACGCUGGCGGCGUGCUUAACACAUGCAAGUCGAACGGAAAGGCCCUGCUUUUGUGUGGUGCUCGAGUGGCGAACGAGUGAGUAACACGUGAGUAACCUGGCCUUGACUUUGGGAUAACUUCAGGAAACUGGGGCUAAUACCGGAUAGGAGCUCCUGCUGCAUGGUGGGGGUUGGAAAGUUUCGGCGGUUGGGGAUGGACUCGCGGCUUAUCAGCUUGUUGGUGGGGUAGUGGCUUACCAAGGCUUUGACUGGUAGCCGGCCUGAGAGGGUGACCGGGCACAUUGGGACUGAGAUACGGCCCAGACUACGACGGGAGGCAGCAGUGGGGAAUUUGGCACAAUGGGCGGAAGCCGGAUGCAGCAACUCCGCGUGCGGGAUGACGGCCUUCGGGUUGUAAACCGCUUUCGCCUGUGACGAAGCGUGAGUGACGGUAAUUGGUAAAGAAGCACCGGCUAACUACGUG
rnacentral:rRNA from 1 species